UACGAAGGGGGCGAGCGUUGUUCGGAUUUACUGGGCGUAAAGGGCGCGCAGGCGGCUCAUUUUGUCAGGCGUGAAAGCCCCGGGCUCAACCUGGGAACUGCAUUUGAGACUGGAUGACUUGAGUUCGGGAGAGGAGAGCGGAAUUCCCAGUGUAGAGGUGAAAUUCGUAGAUAUUGGGAAGAACACCGGUGGCGAAGGCGACUUCCUGGCCUGUUCUUGACGCUGAGGCGCGAAAGCUAGGGUAGCAAACGGG
rnacentral:rRNA from 1 species